rnacentral:tRNA from 1 species
CCUGUAGCUCAAUGGUAGAGCGCCGGCCUCAUAAGCCGAUCGUGGCAGGUUCGAUUCCUGCCGCGAGAG